rnacentral:misc_RNA from 1 species
UCUCCAGAAUCCAGGACGAUACCUGUCAACCAAAACAAAAUCCAAAUGUGCAUUGGCCAACUAAAUGAAACAAAAAAAUAUCCCUGUAUCAUUUAUAAAGAAGGGCAGCCCUGGUGCAGUAGUGAGAGCUGUCUCACUGAGUCACAGGCCGUGGGUUCGAACCAGCCUCUCCGCAAUUGCGGGGAAGACUUGCCUCGGUUUAUCCCUUCCCCAAAAGGCACUCAGGUGAGAGCCUCUGGCACUGGGUUUGCCCUGCCGCGUGUCAUUUAUGAAGCAAUGAUAAAGUCAAGGUGUUCUUUUGCAGAAGAUACUAGUGAAUUAGAUUUAGUUUUAGCUAUUUUUGACCAACAAAUAUGACAUUUCACCAUUGGUCAAUUCAGUUCUGCUGGAUGAUUAAGAUUCCAGACUCCAGAGCAACAAGAUGAAUGCACACAAAUAAAAUGAUGAUUAUUUGAUCACUUACCAGUGGUACGGCCACUAGCAU